AGAGCGAACGCUGGCGGCAGGCUUAACACAUGCAAGUCGAGCGGGCGUAGCAAUACGUCAGCGGCAGACGGGUGAGUAACGCGUGGGAACGUACCUUUUGGUUCGGAACAACACAGGGGAAACUUGUGCUAAUACCGGAUAAGCCCUUACGGGGAAAGAUUUAUCGCCGAAAGAUCGGCCCGCGUCUGAUUAGCUAGUUGGUGAGGUAAUGGCUCACCAAGGCGACGAUCAGUAGCUGGUCUGAGAGGAUGAUCAGCCACAUUGGGACUGAGACACGGCCCAAACUCCUACGGGAGGCAGCAGUGGGAAUAUUGGACAAUGGGCGCAAGCCUGAUCCAGCCAUGCCGCGUGAGUGAUGAAGGCCUUAGGGUUGUAAAGCUCUUUCGCUAGGGACGAUAAUGACGGUACCUAGACAAGAAGCCCCGGCUAACUUCGUGCCAGCAGCCGC
rnacentral:rRNA from 1 species